rnacentral:lncRNA from 10 species
GCAGGCCCGGGCUGCCGCGGACUCCUCUUGUUGGCAGUUUUGGAGUUUGCCCACCAGAUAUGCCAUCCAAGAAGACCAAAAGUACAGCAGGAUGAUUGUGAACAAGACCAGGGACCUCAGCCCUUGCAAAAAAAGGUUGAAGACUAUGUACAUGAACGACAUUCUAGGCUAUCCUCAGCCUUCUGCCAUGUGAGGAUGUGGCACAAAGGUGCCAUUUGGGAGCAGAAACUGGACCCUCACCAGACACCAGACCUGCCAGAGUUUAAGAGCAUUAGAGGCCACGGCUGGACUAGAACUCCAAGGUUCAAAUGAGUCUCCUGCCUCAGACUCCUCAGUAGCUGAGACUACAGGGGUGC